rnacentral:rRNA from 1 species
GAGAUUUUCGCAAUGCCCGAAAGGGUGACGAAGCGACGCCGCGUGCGGGAAGAAGGCCUUCGGGUUGUAAACCGCUGUCGGGAGUUAAGAAAUGUAAGGAUGUUAAUAGCAUCUUUGCUUGACUAAGGCUCCGGAGGAAGCCACGGCUAACUCUGUGCCAGCAGCCGCGGUAAUACAGAGGCGGCAAGCGUUGUUCGGAAUUAUUGGGCGUAAAGAGCACGUAGGCGGCUAUGUAAGUCGGUUGUGAAAGCCUUCCGCUCAACGGGAGAACAGCAUCCGAUACUGCAUACUUGAGUGCGGGAGGGGAGAGUGGAACUUCUGGUGGAGCGGUGAAAUGCGUAGAUAUCAGAAGGAACGCCGGCGGCGAAAGCGGCUCUCUGGCCUAUAACUGACGCUGAGUGUGCGAAAGCUAGGGGAGCAAACGGGAUUAGAUACCCCGGUAGUCCUAGCCGUAAACGAUGGGCACUAAGUAGAGGGGUUUUA